rnacentral:rRNA from 1 species
UACGAAGGGGGCUAGCGUUGUUCGGAAUUACUGGGCGUAAAGCGCAUGUAGGCGGUCCUACAAGCCAGAGGUGAAAUCCCGGAGCUCAACUUCGGAAUUGCCUUUGGAACUGUAGGACUGGAGUAUCGGAGGGGAUGGUGGAAUUCCAAGUGUAGAGGUGAAAUUCGUAGAUAUUUGGAGGGACACCGGUGGCGAAGGCGGCCAUCUGGACGAUUACUGACGCUGAGAUGCGAAAGCGUGGGGAGCAAACAGG